CAGCGUAGGGCGCAAGCGUUGUCCGGAAUUAUUGGGCGUAAAGAGCUCGUAGGUGGUUUGUUACGUCUGCUGUGAAAUCCUAGGGCUUAACCCUGGGCUUGCAGUGGAUACGGGCAGACUAGAGGUAGGUAGGGGAGAAUGGAAUUCCUGGUGUAGCGGUGAAAUGCGUAGAUAUCGUAAGGAAGACCAGUGGCGAAGGCGGGUCGUCUGGCCCGAUACGUGACGCUGAGGACGGAAAGCCGUGGGGAGCAAACAGGG
rnacentral:rRNA from 1 species